rnacentral:rRNA from 1 species
AUUGAACGCUGGCGGCAUGCCUUACACAUGCAAGUCGAACGGUAACAGGUGUUCGGAUGCUGACGAGUGGUAAACGGGUGAGUAAUACAUCGGAACGUGCCCGAUCGUGGGGGGUAACGGAGCGCAUGGUUUGAUAAUAGCGCAUACGAGCUACUGCAGACAGCCGGGUAGCGCAAGGCCUUGCGAGGGCGGUGCUGUCGAUGGCAGAUUAGGUAGUUGGUGGGAUAAAAGCUUACCAAGCCAACGAUUUGUAGCGGGUCUGAGAGGACGACCAGCCACACUGGGACUGAGACACGGCCCAGACUCCUACGGGAGGCAGCAGUGGGGAAUUUUGGACAAUGGGCGAAAGCCUGAUCCAGCCAUGCCGCGUGCAGGAUGAAGGCCUUCGGGUUGUAAACUGCUUUUGUACGGAACGAAAAGACUCGUUCUAAUAAAGAGAGUCCAUGACGGUACCGUAAGAAUAAGCACCGGCUAACUACGUG